AUGAUGAUGCUACUGACUCUACUGCUGACCAUCCUGGUGCUCCUGGUUCAGGUUUCCUCAGCAGAAAUCACCCUGAUUCAGACUCCAGAAUCUCAGGCUGUCGUUCCAGGACAGACUGUCUCCAUCAAAUGUAAAGCCAGUGCGGCUGUUGAUGAUGAUUUGCACUGGUACCUUCAGAAACCUGGAGAAGCUCCUAAGCUCCUAAUUUAUUCAGUUUCCACAAGAGCGACUGGAGUUUCUGAUCGGUUCAGUGGAAGUGGAUAUGAUAUUGAUUUUACUCUGACCAUCAGCAGAGUUCAAGCUGAAGAUGCAGGAGUUUAUUACUGUCAACAUGAUGAGAACUUCCCACUCACACAGUGA